AAAAAAGGUAAGCUACUAAGAGCGAAUGGUGGAUGCCUUGACUGGUAAAGGCGAUGAAGGACGUACUAGACUGCGAUAAGCUACGGGGAGCUGUCAAGAAGCUUUGAUCCGUAGAUUUCCGAAUGGGGCAACCCAAUGUAUAGAGAUAUACAUUACCUAUAUAGGAGCGAACGAGGGGAAUUGAAACAUCUUAGUACCCUCAGGAAAAGAAAUCAAUAGAGAUUGCGUCAGUAGCGGCGAGCGAAAGCGCAAGAGGGCAAACCCAGUGCUUGCACUGGGGGUUGUAGGACUGCAAUGUGCAAGAGGUGAGUUUAGCAGAACAUUCUGGAAAGUAUAGCCAUAGAGGGUGAUAGUCCCGUAUGCGAAAAACAAACCUUAGCUAGCAGUAUCCUGAGUAGGGCGGGACACGAGGAAUCCUGUCUGAAUCCGGGUCGACCACGAUCCAACCCUAAAUACUAAUACCAGAUCGAUAGUGCACAAGUACCGUGAGGGAAAGGUGAAAAGAACUGAGGUGAUCAGAGUGAAAUAGAACCUGAAACCAUUUGCUUACAAUCAUUCAGAGCCCUAUGUAGCAAUACAGGGUGAUGGACUGCCUUUUGCAUAAUGAGCCUGCGAGUUGUGGUGUCUGGCAAGGUUAAGCAAACGUGAAGCCGUAGCGAAAGCGAGUCUGAAUAGGGCGCUUAGUCAGAUGCUGCAGACCCGAAACGAAGUGAUCUAUCCAUGAGCAAGUUGAAGCUAGUGUAAGAACUAGUGGAGGACUGAACCCAUAGGCGUUGAAAAGCCCCGGGAUGACUUGUGGAUAGGGGUGAAAGGCCAAUCAAACUUCGUGAUAGCUGGUUCUCUCCGAAAUAUAUUUAGGUAUAGCGUUGUGUCGUAAUAUAAGGGGGUAGAGCACUGAAUGGGCUAGGGCAUACACCAAUGUACCAAACCCUAUCAAACUCCGAAUACCUUAUAUGUAAUCACAGCAGUCAGGCGGCGAGUGAUAAAAUCCGUCGUCAAGAGGGAAACAACCCAGACUACCAGCUAAGGUCCCUAAAUCUUACUUAAGUGGAAAACGAUGUGAAGUUACUUAAACAACCAGGAGGUUGGCUUAGAAGCAGCCAUCCUUUAAAGAAAGCGUAAUAGCUCACUGGUCUAGUGAUUUUGCGCGGAAAAUAUAACGGGGCUAAAGUA
rnacentral:rRNA from 1 species